AUUGAACGCUGGCGGCAGGCCUCACACAUGCAAGUCGAACGAGUGGCGGACGGGUGAGUAAUGUCUGGGAAACUGCCUGAUGGAGGGGGAUAACUACUGGAAACGGUAGCUAAUACCGCAUACCAUCAGAUGUGCCCAGAUGGGAUUAGCUUGUUGGUGGGGUAACGGCUCACCAAGGCGACGCUCCCUAGCUGGUCUGCGCGGAUGACCAGCCAACCUGGAAUGGGAACACGGACCAGCCUCCUACGGGAGGAAGCAGGGGGGAAUAUUGCACAAUGGGCGCAAGCCUGAUGCAGCCAUGCCGCGUGUAUGAAGAAGGCCUUCGGGUUGUAAAGUACUUUCAGCGGGGAGGCGUUACCCGCAGAAGAAGCACCGGCUAACUCCGUGCCAGCAGCCGCGGUAAUAC
rnacentral:rRNA from 1 species